rnacentral:lncRNA from 1 species
GCAAUUACAGUUCGGGCCGAUUUUUGGUUGAUCCGACCUAAUUAACACCGUUCGUUUGAUUUAUUUAAAUUACCAUUGAAAUUCAAAAGAUUCAAAAUCAAGACGAAAGUUUAUAAUUAUUGGUUUGUCUAAGAGUUCAUGAGUUUCUUUUCAAGGUAUGUUCCAUUUUUAACUUCUUUAUUAUUUUUAGGCCGCAGGUUACAUUUAUGAAAAGUAAUAUAUGUGUGACAUGUGAGUUUCUUUGUGCUUCUAUAUGUCCUUUUUAUAAGAGAUCUUAAUUUUUAUACAUAAAAAUUGUAAAAAGGAUAUUUUCUUCUACUAAAAUUGUAAGAAGAUAAGAUAUCUCAUUCUUUUUUGUGUGUGUGCGCGCUUCUACAAGCACCAUUUAGAAUUUAUAUAGGUGUAUAUUCUACUACUUUAUGUCUUUUUGCUUUUGGGAAUUCUAUCUUUUGAACUAUAAGAAAUUCGUUGAUAUGGACUUAUGACCUCAUUAAUUUGUGGAAAUUUUCUAUUGGAAACUCUACAGUAGUUACAUUACAAAAACACUAGAGUUUUAAGUGUGUUUAGAAGAAAUGAUUUUCUAAUACUUUUCCUUAUUAGUUUUAUAGUCUUUCUAUAAUUAAGAGAUUUUUAGUCUUUUCAUAUAAAACAUCUUUAUUUUUAUGCAUCAUAAAUCUUAAAAAGGUAAUUUUCUUCCACUCAAAUUGUGAAAAAGGCUAGAGAUCUCA